CCGCGCGGGCAGUUGCGGCGAGCGCUGAGGGAGGGAGGCCGGGCUUACACCCAGGGGUGGGUCUCCUGAGACAAACAGGGCUGGAGGGUGGGGAUCCCCGCCCGCCGGCGCCCUGGACCCGGAGUGAGGAGGAAUCCAACGGGAGCGCCCAGGCGCCGAGGCCCCGGGCGGAUGAGGGAGAACUGCGGCGCCCCGGAGCAGCCUGCUGGGACCGGCCCUCUGCGGGCAGCCGGGCGAGGGCGCCCCCGCGGCGAGGAGCAGGUCUCUUGGGGCGGGGAGGCCGAGCCCCCUGGCGAGUCGUUCGGGGAGUCGGGACCCCGCGGCCCUCAGCUCGCCGGCAAGUCCCCGGUGGCAACUGCCCGGAGCCCAGAGGCGCCCGGAGCCCGCCCGCUGCACCCGCGGGAGCGGCGAGGGAUGUGGGACUGCGCUCAGUUUCCCGUCUUCCUGUGCCUCUUUCCCGACCUGUUUGAGCACAGGCCCCAAUUUUAGAGGCUGUGGAAGGGAGAGCUUAGCCCAGGCCUGCUAGCAGGGCCUUUACCUGCCACGGGCUCUUGCCAGUUCUGGCUAAGGGUGAGUGCGCGGGAGGUCUCGCCGGCCGCCCUGCCAAGUGCUCACUCACUGGCUGUGCGCUAGUGGCUGAAACACUGAUCGCCAGGGCAGACCUCGGUGACUUAGAUCUUGUAAAGCCCUGAGCUGUCCUGACCCCCGAGACGCAACUCCGGAGGGAAGAUUUCUCCAUGUCAGGCUUAGAUCAGAUUUGUCCGCUUUUACCAAGAGCUUGUCGACAAAGGCUUUGAGAGACACACUGUUGGGCUGUGCGCUUCGCCACUAGAUUUAGGCACCGUGGAGGUAGGACAAGUCAGCUUCCUACACCCACACCACUGAAACAGACAAAUGCAUACAGCAAAUGUGGCAGGCAGUGGCUUUUUUAUUUGAUUAUCUUAUGCAUAGAUUAUUCUUGGCAGAAAGGACUUUAUGCCACCUAGACCCACUUCCCCCUGCAUGAAGGAAGUCUUGCAGCCUCUUCCUGGAUAUUCAAAUCAAAGCAGAUACUCAGUUUCCAUAGAGCUGGACAGGAAUGACUUUCAUCUGCUCCAUAUGGCAUCCACAGAGAUGGCUCAAACUGAGACUGGACAAUCCACUUUCAGUACGGAUCACUCACAUGGCUGGCAAGUUAAUGCUGGCUGUCGGUUGGCAGUUUGGCUGGUCUGGGGUCUGGGAGCAAGGGGCCUUGCUUCUUCUCCAAGUGGGCUUCUCCUCAGAUUCUUGGGCUUCUUCACUGGACAAUGGCUGAGUUCCCAGAACAAAUGUCCCAAGAGAUCCAAACCAAAGGCACUUUCAUGCUCUGUCCUUGGAAAUCAUACAAUAUAGUUUCCACUGUUCCUUAUUAGUUGAGAGAAUCCCAAAGUUUCACUCAGAUUAAGAGGAGGAGAACAAAGAUUCCAUCCAUGAGGUAGUGCAAGGUUGUAUUAUACAAUGAGCGUAUGGGAUGAAAGACAUUAUAUUCUAGAGUUGAUAUUUUAACCUCUCUCAUUAACAAAGCAUUGGAACACUUUAUCUUCAACAUGCUCCGUCUGUUCUUUGUAUAUAUUUUAUUGAAUGCUUUUUUCCUUUUUCUAAGAAAAGAUUUUAUUUAUUUAUUUAUUUAUUUAUUUGAGAGAGAGAGAGGAAGAGGGGAGAGGACA